rnacentral:tRNA from 1 species
AAAAUUUUAGUUUAUUUAGAAUGAAGAAUUGUAAAUUCUUAGGUUUAAAUUUUG